rnacentral:lncRNA from 1 species
AAGAUUCUGCACAAUCUGGUGGAUUUCCUUUUCUGUUACUGGUGCCAGUAGUUGCUGUUGUUAGUGCAGGGUUAGUUAGGGUCCAUCUCUGGCCACAGUGAUGUCAAUGCCUGGUAGCUGAGCCGCUGCUGUACCCAGUAACUCUUGGAAGAACUGGGUGAAUUGUUGUUGUAUCUGUUGUGGAUCAGUAAGUUUCAUCUGGUUUUCUGUAAGGAUACAACUCACCUUGUUUCUUGCUUGU